UACGAAGGGGGCUAGCGUUGUUCGGAAUUACUGGGCGUAAAGCGCGCGCAGGCGGUUCUCCAAGUCAGUGGUGAAAGCCCGGAGCUCAACUCCGGAACUGCCAUUGAAACUGUUGAACUUGAGGACGAGAGAGGUGAGUGGAAUUCCCAGUGUAGAGGUGAAAUUCGUAGAUAUUGGGAAGAACACCAGUGGCGAAGGCGGCUCACUGGCUCGUAUCUGACGCUCAGGCGCGAUAGCGUGGGGAGCGAACAGG
rnacentral:rRNA from 1 species